GGGUUGUGAGGUUAAGCGACUAAGCGUACACGGUGGAUGCCCUGGCAGUCAGAGGCGAUGAAGGGCGUGCUAAUCUGCGAUAAGCGCCGGUAAGGUGAUAUGAACCGUUAUAACCGGCGAUACCCGAAUGGGGAAACCCAGUGUGACUCGUCACACUAUCAUUAACUGAAUCCAUAGGUUAAUGAGGCGAACCGGGGGAACUGAAACAUCUAAGUACCCCGAGGAAAAGAAAUCAACCGAGAUUCCCCCAGUAGCGGCGAGCGAACGGGGAGGAGCCCAGAGCCUGAAUCAGCAUGUGUGUUAGUGGAAGCGUCUGGAAAGUCGCGCGAUACAGGGUGACAGCCCCGUACACAAAAGCGCAUGUGCUGUGAGCUCGAUGAGUAGGGCGGGACACGUGGUAUCCUGUCUGAAUAUGGGGGGACCAUCCUCCAAGGCUAAAUACUCCUGACUGACCGAUAGUGAACCAGUACCGUGAGGGAAAGGCGAAAAGAACCCCGGCGAGGGGAGUGAAAAAGAACCUGAAACCGUGUACGUACAAGCAGUGGGAGCCCCACCACCAAAGCAUUCUCUGGUGUUGAAGGCCCUGCAAAGCAGCAUCGCGGUGGCGGAGCGUCGUUUGCGACGCCCAACACACAAAACAAGCGAUGAGUGCUUUGGGGUGGGGUGACUGCGUACCUUUUGUAUAAUGGGUCAGCGACUUAUAUUCUGUAGCAAGGUUAACCGAAUAGGGGAGCCG
rnacentral:rRNA from 1 species